GUUAGGCGGUUCGGUGCCUUGUUCCCGUUUCGACCUCCCUCGUUCGCAGCGCACCUGCUCACCUAAUCUUCCUCACAGCAAGGCGACCACGCUGGCCGGCCAGCGCCGUUGCCACCCCCGGCCUCCCCGCCGCUGAACCUCGCCCCCGCCCUACGUGGCCGCCGAUUCCGCCGAGGGCGAGCAGGGGAUUCGUCGGAGCUCGCGAUCGCUGCUCUGCCGCUCCUGCCGAUACCGAUGUGGAUGAGGAAGGGCCUCUGCGGACGGGAGAAAGCGGAGCUGCGCCGCCACAGAGGAGAGGGAGGCGGGUCACACCGUCCAAGAGAGUGAAGAAUCGAUAUCGCUGAAAGGGAUGACGGCCGCGACACCGCGGAAGAGGGACCCAGUAGAAGAGCAGUGCCUCUGCCGUCCCGAUGAACUGCAGUGCCUCUGCCGUCCCAAUGAACUCGGUACCGCUCGAUUCCAGGUCAUCGAGGCUGGUGAGAAGAGAUGAAGGAGCAGCAGGACCAGAGCUCAGGGUGCGGCCGCAUCAUGGUGAGAUGAGCAAGGGGGGAAUGGAGUAGGCCAUGGAGCAGCUCGGUGUGGAAUACAUAGAGAAUUUCUUGCAAUGUGGUGUGAGAGUAAUUUGCUUGCUGCUGUUACAGAAGGUUUGGAGGCAAAGAGAUUUUAGCUCGUGCUCUGAAAUUUUUGUUGCCUGCUGCUUUUGUAUCCGCUAAUGCUCCUUUGCUAUCUAUCUGCUGAUAUUGUUGCUCGGUUAUUUUCACUAAGACAGUGUGAGAGAAAUCGAGAGAUAGAAAGAUUGCUAGCUGCUGCUAUGAUUCUUUUACGAUCUUGUUGAUUGCUAGCUGCUGCUAAUAAGGCUACUUCUAGGAUGGAUGAUUGUGCUUUCGUCGAGUUCAUGUUGUGUUGUAUCGAGAUUAUGUUGUACUAUCAAAUGUUUGUGUUUGACAGAGAGUGGGAGAGAGAGAUAUGUAUGGUAAUUAUAGAAAACCAACAUAUUAUAUAUGUUACUAGGACAUAGAGAGUGAGAUUUGCCGCUUCUGUCGGAAUAUGUCAGUGGUCAGGCUGUAGCAACUAUGGGUGUGAUGCAGACUAGAGUACUAAGAAAAGGUAUGCUUUUGGCACAUAAUGUCAUGAUAUCAACUAAUUUAAGGAGUUUCAUAUUUAAUUAUAUCACAUAUUCUGUCAUUUGGUAAGUAUUUAGGUUGUCAUUUGCUUGCUUUUCAUUUUGAUGCUGCCUAUUGUUACCAUGGAUGACAAUGAAGGAGAGUCCUUGCUGGGCACAUAAUUGGUUGAAUUUUCUUAUGUUCCAUGUUUUUUCAAGUUCAUCUAUAAAUUCUGAUGGCCUCUAAGGGCGUCAGUUAUUUCUGUGGUGCAACCAUAGUUGUACUUGGUUCAGAUAGUUGCAUUUUCAGAACUAUUGCAUACUUAUUAUCCAAAUCUCCAUAUUUUAGUAAAUUGGAAAAUAAUAUAUUGGAAUAUCAAUAUUAUAGCUCAGAAUCUGUAGUGUAUAUCCCUCUGGCCUCCACCCAUCAGCAGUUCAGCAGAGUACUAUGCAUUACAUCAAAGCAGACUAGAUGUCUAGCAGCCGGCGAUGCUGUGAAACCAUGAUUACAUGUCGCUGAGUGGUGGCUAUUGGUGCACUCCAGGUGCCGCUCAUUGGAUUAUUAUGUUGACAAUUUUGUUGCUACUCACCCACUCAUCACAUCCUAAGAACGUAUGCACUACCUGGUGUUUUGACCUAGCUAGAAACUAGAUUGGUCAGAAUUCGGUUGCUAUCGGAACUAUGCCCACUAAAAUAAAAAUAUGCUAAUGUUUCAUCUAUGCUUCCGUAAGGAGCUUUCAUGUUAUUGGGUUUGUGCCCUCAUUAUUUUCUUACACAUUUUGUAUAAUUCUCCAUAUAUCAAAUCAGAUACUAUGGUCUUCCAUUUUUGAUGUUUGCGUUUACAUGAAUAUCCAUUUUACUUGCUGGAAUUAGUCACAAAUAGGAUUGUAGUCUGAAUGGUGAGAAAAUUCAUGUUCUGUCAUACAAGAUUCCAUGUUAUGCAAUAAUAGUGGAUUUUGUAUUCCUGGUAAUCUUUUUAAGUUUAACUCCUGGGAAACGUACUGGUAAUAAUAGUGGUAAUAAUAGUGCAGUAGUUUACAGGUUCUCUCUGUGUUCUUCUCUUGGUAGGAAAUCUUUGGUGAUGACACCUUUGUAGAAAAGGUCAUACCCUAGAAUUCAUGUACUAUAUAAAUUAGCAGCUUGAUAUUUGCAGGUAGUAGUUACUCGAA